UUGAAGCUAUUUGUGACUGAGUGGCGGACGGGUGAGUAACGCGUGGAUAACCUGCCUCACACAGGGGGAUAACAGUUAGAAAUGACUGCUAAUACCGCAUAAGCGCACAGUCUCGCAUGGGACAGUGUGAAAAACUGAGGUGGUGUGAGAUGGAUCCGCGUCUGAUUAGGCAGUUGGCGGGGUAACGGCCCACCAAACCAACGAUCAGUAGCCGGCCUGAGAGGGUGAACGGCCACAUUGGGACUGAGACACGGCCCAAACUCCUACGGGAGGCAGCAGUGGGGAAUAUUGCACAAUGGGGGAAACCCUGAUGCAGCGACGCCGCGUGAAGGAAGAAGUAUUUCGGUAUGUAAACUUCUAUCAGCAGGGAAGAAAGUGACGGUACCUGACUAAGAAGCCCCGGCUAACUACGUGCCAGCAGCCGCGGUAAUACGUAGGGGGCAAGCGUUAUCCGGAUUUACUGGGUGUAAAGGGAGCGUAGGCGGCGAUGCAAGUCAGAAGUGAAAGCCCGGGGCUCAACUCCGGGACUGCUUUUGAAACUGUAUGGCUAGAUUGCAGGAGAGGCAAGUGGAAUUCCUAGUGUAGCGGUGAAAUGCGUAGAUAUUAGGAGGAACACCAGUGGCGAAGGCGGCUUGCUGGACUGUAAAUGACGCUGAGGCUCGAAAGCGUGGGGAGC
rnacentral:rRNA from 1 species